CAUAGAACAUCAUCUAAAUUGCAAACCAAACAAAUCCUAAACCUUUCUUCCAUGGCACGACAGACCCCAAAUUUCUUCACCGCUCCGACGCUAGUUCGACUGUGUACAAUUGUAAAUUUGUAAACCUUCGUUUUAGGGUUUAUCUUGUUCAUUCUUCAAUCUCUUGAUCCAUCCUCUCUGGCGAAAAUGGCGAACGAGCAACGGCAAUCGACAGGGCCUUGGAUCCUCGAAGCAAUACCUUUGAUUAUUGUUCUUCUCAUAGCAACUCACAUCUUCGCUUUGGUAUAUUGGAUUUAUAGGUUAGCAACCCAAAAACAGCCUCCAAGGAGGAAGGCACACUGAGUUACUGUAUGAUUCGUUCCUGAAGGAAACUUUAGUGGAACCCUAAUUCGUUAAUUGUUAUGUCACUGAUGUUGAGGAGGCGGUCAUUAAAAAAAAAAAAAAAGCCAUAUAAGGAUGUUUCUCCGUAAGUAUCCGUCGAUGUGUAUUCUCAGAAUCUGAAUUUGGUAUUGUAAGAAUGUGGGAAUGUUUCUUGCCAAUCAAAUUUGAUUUGUAUGGUUUUCAGUUCAUAAAUUUGAAGUUGAUCCAUUCAUAUU